rnacentral:piRNA from 1 species
UGACUGAGACAGACACUCCCUGUAGUU